GUCAGGUUAGGCAGUCAAACCUGGGCCUUGGGAGAAGCUUGAAGGAGGCUGAACUGUAGAAGAAUGGAAGGGCAUGCCAGGCCAGAAACACUAACUGUUCUGGAGCAAAGACUGGUGGAGAGUCUAACUAUGUAGAGUAUCGUUCUGUGUUUUCGAGGUUUUGGAGGGAGAGAGAAAGAUUUCGGGCAAGUGACACACUCCACUUGAUCUUAGCCAAAAGGCCGAGAAGCAAUGCAAAUGACACACUCAGCGUUGGCACAAGUCUGCCUUGGAAGUUCAGGGUUGUGGUGCUUGACCUAAGGAUUCAAUGGAGAUCCUGCAGGGUGGAAAGAGAGAAUUGACUCCUGACUCCUGGCCUCUAUAUGUGCACCAUGGAAUGUGGAGACCUUCUUCAUGUUGCUACAAGAUGGGGAAUCCAAGUUGACCAGGAACUUCUGGGGAGUGUCAUUUGAACUAAAAGAGAAAGAAAUCGUUGCGCUCGUGGUCGGAAAAGAAGGGGCUGGAGAGGUGGGCAGGCAUCGAAGAGAGUAUAAGGAACACACUGCUCUUGUAGAAGACCCGAGU
rnacentral:lncRNA from 1 species